rnacentral:lncRNA from 10 species
GGCUGAUCCUUGGCAAACACCACCUGCUCCUUGGCAAACACCGCCUUGGGCUCUGGGGAUGGACAAGGAAGGACAUACGAGGUCAAAGAUACAGCCUAGGUCAGGAAGACCACCCUAGGAUAGGAGGGCCUGGAUGAGGAAGUAGGAGAAACAGAACCUUCCCCAGGCUCUGCACUGGCUGCGUGGCCAGGAGAAGUCCUGCCACCUCCCAGCGCAAGAAUCACAGUUUGUCUAUCCACUGUGCACGGCGCCAUGGGCUAUCACAGGUGGGGCAGCUAUGACAAACCCUCCAUGCAUGAGCUCCUCCAGGGCAGGGACUAGGGUACCUGCACAUGCGGCUCUUCUUCAAGCAUGUAUGGAGCUUUAAAUCCACUUGUCAUUUUUCAACCUUGCAUCCCCCAAAACCACAUUUGUUUGGAUUUUGAUUGAGACUGAACGUCUUUCAUUCUUCCAUGGCUUCUAUCCACUUUAGAUCUUUACUGUCUCUCAAAAGUGUUUCAUAGCUUCCCCCACAGAACCUCUCGACAUCUUUUAUUAGACUGGGAUCAUAAACAUGAUGCCUUUGAGGCGUCUGUCAAUCUUUUACGUUUUCAUUUUCCAACUGCUUGCUGCUAGUCUACAUGUACGGAAGUUUCUUCACACAGAUCUUGCAAGGGUUGAUCUUUCUCAACUCUCUAAUAAUUUAUCUUCUAGGUAAACCGUAUAUUCUGUCAAUUCACUUUUUUCUAACUUUUACACCUUUCGUUUUACUUUCCUCCUAACUGUGCCAUCCAAUGCUGGAUGGAAGUGUUGACCACUGGCUUCCUCAUGCUGUCCCCUGGCUCAGAGGCAAAGCUUACAAAGUCUCCCUUUGUGAUUUUUGUGUAAUACCCUGUGUCAAAUUAGGAAAAAAAAACUUUUAUUUAUACUUUGUUAAGAAUUUUAUGGCAUGAUGGAUGCUAAAUUUUGCCAGACAUUUCUUCUGAAUAUAUGAGGUUAAAUUUUUAUCAAAUAUGGUACUUUAUUCUGAGUUUAAGAUAAUUACAUUGUUUUCAAAUUUCAAUCACAUAUCAUGAUUUUCUAAUGUUUUUAACAUGAAAGCAGCCCUCAUUCCUAGACUAUGAAUUUCAUCAUCCUGUAUGAUUGUCUUGAUGUAUUGCUGAAUUCAGUUUACUAAUGUUUUGUUUAAAAAAUUGGCCAUGAUAUCCAUAAUUCUUUGAUCUACAAUGUGCAAACUUCCUAUCUUCUGGCCAGAUUUUAGUCAUGGCAUUAAGCUAUCUGCAUAUAAUGAGUUAGAGGGUAUAUCUUCCUUUUUCCAUUCUCCAGAAGAAUUUCCAUGAACAUGGAAGAAUUUCUGGCCAGAACGUUUGGAAGAAUUUCUCAGUAGGGCCACAUGUUUGAUGAGAAGAUUUUUCGCUACCGGUUCUAGUUUUUACUAGGUUGUAGUAACUGAGAUAACUUCAGUAACAGUAGAUAACUGCAUAUAGGUUAUCUAUUUCUUAAGUCUGUUUUUGGUUUCUAGAAAUUAUAUAAUUUGUUAACACUUUUCAAAUUUACUUGCAGUGAGUAUUUUUGGUAUCUACACAUUUGUAAACCAUUUUAGAUAUAUAUAACACCAACUGUUAUGUGGUGGCACUCAGGGCUCAGGGUUGGAGUUUGAAGUUAAACUCUCCUAACAAACAAUAGGAAAGUAAAGGUCAUUCUCAGACUUCCUAUGAAUCAGCUGGAGAGGGGGCAGGCACAGGACUCAUCAAGGAAACAGGAUGAUGUAAAUAUGGCUUCCCCAGUCAGCGACUGCUACCACCAUAACUUAAUUCUACCAGUGUGUCACUGUGCCAUAAGCUACUUAUUCCUUUUUUUUUUUUUUUUUUUUUUUGGUGUAAAGAAAAAACACAGCUUUAUUGGCUCUCAGGAGACAAAACAAACAGAACAAGAUAUUCAUAUUAAUGCAAACAAUGCAACAAAUGAGGGGAAGAAUCGCCCGGCUGAAGCGAGGCCCGGCGCGGCCGCGGCCGGGGGGCUGAGAAGGGCCUGGGUGCCUGUCG